rnacentral:misc_RNA from 1 species
UGAAAUGCGAAAAGUAAUGCGAUUUGCAUGAAUCUGUGAGUCAUCAAGUUUUUGAACGCACCUUGCACCGUAUGAGCAAUCGUACGGUAUACCUGUUUGAGAAUCGUAAAACACCCUUUCCCUCCAUCCAGAGGGAAGACUUGUCGGCUGUGCACGCGCACUCUGAUUAAACGUAGCAGGUUUUGGAUCGAGCUGGAGGCUCGGGACACUGUGUGCUAGAGACUACUGUAUCGCGCUGCCAGCGUGUGCGUGUCUUCUCACGGUGCGUCCCGGGUCAAUCCAAGCUGGCUCGGCUCUGGAGUCUUAACAGCGCAAGCAAAUUUAUUUGCCUGGCUACUUCUCAACUUUGAUCUCAAAUCAGGUAAGGCUACCCGCUGAACUUAA